UACAGAGGGGGCUAGCGUUGUUCGGAAUUACUGGGCGUAAAGGGCGCGUAGGCGGCCUGCUAAGUCGAACGUGAAAUCCCUGGGCUCAACCCAGGAACUGCGUCCGAUACUGGUUGGCUUGAAUCCGGGAGAGGGAUGCGGAAUUCCAGGUGUAGCGGUGAAAUGCGUAGAUAUCUGGAGGAACACCGGUGGCGAAGGCGGCAUCCUGGACCGGCAUUGACGCUGAGGCGCGAAAGCCAGGGGAGCAAACGGG
rnacentral:rRNA from 1 species